rnacentral:rRNA from 1 species
UACGUAGGUGGCAAGCGUUGUCCGGAAUUAUUGGGCGUAAAGCGCGCGCAGGCGGUCCUUUAAGUCUGAUGUGAAAGCCCACGGCUCAACCGUGGAGGGUCAUUGGAAACUGGGGGACUUGAGUACAGAAGAGAAGAGUGGAAUUCCACGUGUAGCGGUGAAAUGCGUAGAGAUGUGGAGGAACACCAGUGGCGAAGGCGGCUUUCUGGACCAAUACUGACGAUCAGGUGCGAAAGCGUGGGGAGCAAACAGG